ensembl:lncRNA
ACACUACAUCCCAGGUGCAUUCCUGAAAUACUUGCUGGGUGGAUUGAGCUUAUUCUGGGGCCUAUCCUGCUUGAAUAUGCAAAGGAUUCCAGUGUUAUCUGGUAUAUCUGAUGCGGCAUUGACCUAUACUCUCAUAUCUUAUCUUCCUACUCAGUAUGCAACCAGAAAAUGCUGGUGCUGCUGUACUACUGAGGGCAGUGCCUCCCUCCAACAACUGCUCUGCAGUGUGAGAUGUGGUCACUCACACAGACUCCUAAUACAGCCCACCGCAUGUAGUCUGGCAAGUGUAUAAGACAAGUGGUCCCUUCUUGGAGAUGAUGGAGGAGAAGGACAUUUGUGGGUUGGAUGGAGCCCUGGGCAACCUGGUCUAGCCCACGGCUGGGAGACUGGAACUAGGAAACAAAGCUUUUGCCUUGUAAUCCUCUGGAACCCAAGGGAGAGCCAUCUGUCUGUCAGUACCAGAGAUAACUUCUCUUCUAGAGGAAUACAAAAUCUGAACCACAGCUGCAGCUGCAGCACUGCUAUCCGAGCUUUACGAGUGUUUUUAAGAGGCAAUUGAACAAUCAGUCCAGAACACCGAUGUUGACCUGAUUUCUGCUUAAGGAACACCUGACUUUGUUUCCCACUUUCUCCCUUCCCACCUCAGUUCCUGGGGUGACAGGGCCAAGUUCCAGCAACAAUAGCUGAGUUCUGGCAUUUUGACAUCCAAACCAGGGAUUGUUGUUGCAAAACCAUGUGCAAUUCAGCGCUGAGCAAUGUGUUCCCUACACACAGCUCAGUGCAGUACACUGGGAUGGUUACUAUUAUCGACACUAUUAGGACAUACAGGAGAGCAUGAUGCAAUAGAAGGAACACCAAGCUGAGAUAAAGGUGACAUGGGGAACUGUUGUAGGCAGCUUGAAGGUAUAACUAUAUGCGAAAGCCCCACUGGUUCUGGAGUUGGCCUAUGGAUUUGCAAUGAAUGGAGCAACCAGAAAGGAAUGCAGAUAUAACGGAGAGCCCUCCCUGCCAUCUGCACCCAUGAGCCCACUGCAUCACAGGAUUUUUGCAGGCCCUGCCAUACAAAAAUAACCAAAACCAAGUGAAAAAGUGUUUAGUCUUACAAAUCUCAAAAUAAAAGGAACCUUGGAUAUGAGUGAUUCUUUCUCAUCUCUAAACAUAUAUGUACUUCCAUAAUGCUGAACUCAAUUCUUCUUUUCUUUAUCUUGCAUUUAAACAAUAGACCAGGUUUUAUGGUUCUAUGCGAAGAACUUGUUACACAAGCUCCAGUGACUCACAGUCUUGUUGAACACUGUAUUCCCAAGUACUAGCCUCUAACACCAGGAAUCCUGGUAAAUGGAAUUAAAUAUUUUGCAAGAACAUCUUGCUACAGCAUUUAAUACAUCUCUUGCAUAACUGACUCUUUUGGUGGGAUCUUUACUUUGGAAAAUAAAACAGAUAUAUGCAUGUAUUCAGUUGAGAGGUUGUAACAUGUUGAUACUGAUUUACUUGAGAGUUUUGGCCAAAUAUGGUGUGCUUAUGUUGCUGGGAGUAAAAGGGAGAU